rnacentral:rRNA from 1 species
GAUGAACGCUGGCGGCGUGCCUAACACAUGCAAGUCGAGCGAGGGUUUGCUCAGUAUUGAGUAUUCUAAGACUAGAAUGUUCAAUUCUGAGCAAAACCAAGCGGCGGACGGGUGAGUAACGCGUGGGUAACCUGCCCUAUACACAUGGAUAACAUACUGAAAAGUUUACUAAUACAUGAUAAUAUAUAUUUGCGGCAUCGCGGAUAUAUCAAAGUGUUAGCGGUAUAGGAUGGACCCGCGUCUGAUUAGCUAGUUGGUGAGAUAACUGCCCACCAAGGCGACGAUCAGUAGCCGACCUGAGAGGGUGAUCGGCCACAUUGGAACUGAGACACGGUCCAAACUCCUACGGGAGGCAGCAGUGGGGAAUAUUGCACAAUGGGCGAAAGCCUGAUGCAGCAACGCCGCGUGAACGAUGAAGGUCUUCGGAUCGUAAAGUUCUGUUGCAGGGGAAGAUAAUGACGGUACCCUGUGAGGAAGCCCCGGCUAACUACGUGCCAGCAGCCGCGGUAAUACGUAGGGGGCUAGCGUUAUCCGGAUUUACUGGGCGUAAAGGGUGCGUAGGUGGUCCUUCAAGUCGGUGGUUAAAGGCUACGGCUCAACCGUAGUAAGCCGCCGAAACUGGAGGACUUGAGUGCAGGAGAGGAAAGCGGAAUUCCCAGUGUAGCGGUGAAAUGCGUAGAUAUUGGGAGGAACACCAGUAGCGAAGGCGGCUUUCUGGACUGCAACUGACACUGAGGCACGAAAGCGUGGGUAGCAAACAGG